AGGACGAACGCUGGCGGCGUGCUUAACACAUGCAAGUGGAGCGACGAACCAGGCUUCGGCCUGGGGCAGAGCCGCGAACGGGUGAGUAACACGUGGGUAACCUGCCCCGAUGACUGGGACAACCCGGGGAAACCCGGGCUAAUACCGGAUGUGUUGCCUUUGCAUCAGCGAAGGUAAAAAAGGAAGCUUCAGCCUCCGCAUCGGGAUGGGCCCGCGGCCCAUUAGCUUGUUGGUGAGGUAACGGCUCACCAAGGCUGCGAUGGGUAGCUGGUCUGAGAGGACGAUCAGCCACACUGGGACUGAGACACGGCCCAGACUCCUACGGGAGGCAGCAGUGGGGAAUCUUGCGCAAUGCGCGAAAGCGUGACGCAGCAACGCCGCGUGGGGGAAGAAGGCCUUCGGGUUGUAACCCCUUUCAGGAGGGACGAAGCCAGGGCGGUUAAUAGCCGACCCUGGUGACGGUACCUCCACAAGAAGCCCCGGCUAACUACGUGCCAGCAGCCGC
rnacentral:rRNA from 1 species